rnacentral:lncRNA from 1 species
AAAAGGAAGCGUAUAGGCUUAAAAAAAGGGUUAAUUUCAUACAGCUUCCUGUAAAUAUAUCGAAUAACAAAUAUAUAUUUAUAAAGUUCAACUUUUCAUAUUUAUCCUUGCAAAAGUGCAGUGAUAUUCAUAUUUGCUCAUCUGAUUUAUUACCGUUAAAGUACUAUUUAUUUUUUAACAGAUGAUAAAUAAAAUAAUAUUUUUUUUCAUUACAAAUAUGUCCCUCCAAAAAUCCCAACUAUUAGAAUUAUAAAAAAAUAUCCUCUCAAAAAUCUCCAUCAGUCAACUUUUUGUUUUUACCAUCACAAAUAACAUAAAAGGAGUAAAAAUAUCAAUUUACCUCAUUUACUAAUUAAAAUUAAAUAUUUAAUCUAUGAUUAAUAAUAUUUUUGUUAUGGAUCCUAACAGUAUUGAAAACGUUUGGACUUUUGUGGAAAAAAAAGUGAAAAAUUAAACUUUAUAGAAAUAUACCUGCUAUUUGAUACGUUUAUAGAAAGCUGUAUGCAAUUAAUUUUUAAAAAAAUAUUUUAAAAAAUUAAAAAAAUAAAAG